GGAGGAGGGAGACCGGCAGAAAGGAGGCUCUUCCUCCUGAAAAAUAGAAAAUGCGCUUUUAAUCCUAAUGAAGAAGCGCCCUGGGAAGUCCUGCAAACAAACAGGACGCCAGGGAACAAAGCACGAGGCGCUGGCGCAGCGUUAUUAGCCUGGAUUAGCGAGGGGCGGUAAGAGCCACGCGGGGAAGGUGUGACUCCUCGUUAAGACUGCUCUACCGAAAGCUCCCGCUCUGCCUGCAGCCGCUGCCUCGAUCUCAGCCUAGUAGUUCUGAGCUGUGAUUUCAAAAUGCACAAUCUCUUUAAAAAGUAAAACAGCAAAAAAUCUCUCGACCACUUCUGCUCCAAAGCCAAAGCUUGGCCAGGGGAUACCAGGGAAACUGGAGUGAAGAUAUGCCUGUUUGCUUUGAGGUAGGAAAGCCCUCUGCUGGUUAACAUAAACUAAUUAACACACUAAUCUGAAUGUUUUUGUAGAUAACAGAACCACACACACACACACAAAAAGGAGAGAGUGGUUAAGGAAGAAGCAGAGAAAAAUCAUCGGUGAUCUCAGAAAUUGUCAUUCUUCAGCUUACUUACUAGACCCAUAAAAAUGCGAAGGGUGUGUUUUCUUUUUUUUUCUUCCUUUUUUUUUUUUUUCUGUUUGUAACUUUAAACACUCUGGCUUACAAAAUACAUACUUUAAUAAACGUUACUAGUUAUUUGCAAUUAUCAAGUGCAAAAAAGGAACUUCAGAACCCAGUGAGAUGCAUGGGCAGACUUGAGUGCUCCAACACUGAAAAAGCUGUUUAUAUACACGUUAUAACAA